rnacentral:rRNA from 1 species
GACGAACGCUGGCGGCACGCUUAACACAUGCAAGUCGAACGAGAGAAGAGAAGCUUGCUUUUCUGAUCUAGUGGCGGACGGGUGAGUAACACGUGAGCAAUCUGCCUUUCAGAGGGGGAUACCGCUUGGAAACGAUCGUUAAUACCGCAUAACAUAAUUGAACCGCCUGAUUUGAUUAUCAAAGAUUUAUCGCUGAAAGAUGAGCUCGCGUCUGAUUAGCUAGUUGGUAAGGUAACGGCUUACCAAGGCGACGAUCAGUAGCCGGACUGAGAGGUUGAUCGGCCAAAUUGGGACUGAGACACGGCCCAGACUUCUACGGGAGGCAGCAGUGGGGAACAUUGCAAAAUGGACGAAACUCUGAUGCAGCGAUGCCGCGUGAGGGAAGAAGGUUUUAGGAUUGUAAACCUCUGUCUUAAGGGACGCAAAAAGACGGUACCUGAGGAGGAAGCUACGGCUAACUACGUG